CCUACGGGUGGCAGCAGUGAGGAAUAUUGGUCAAUGGACGAGAGUCUGAACCAGCCAAGUAGCGUGAAUGAUGACUGCCCUAUGGGUUGUAAACUUCUUUUAUAUGGGAAUAAAACAGGGUAUGCAUACCCUCUUGUAUGUACCAUAUGAAUAAGGAUCGGCUAACUCCGUACCAGCAGCCGCGGUAAUACGGAGGAUACGAGCGUUAUCCGGAUUUAUUGGGUUUAAAGGGAGCGGAGGGGGACUGUUAAGUCAGAUGUGAAAUUUUGGGGCUCAACCGUAAAACUGCAGUUGAAACUGGCAGUCUUGAGUACAGUAGAGGGGGGCAGAAUUCGUGGUGUAGCGGUGAAAUGCUUAGAGAUCACGAAGAACUCCGAUUGCGAAGGCAGCUCACUGGACUGAAACUGACACUGAUGCUCGAAAGUGUGGGUAGCAAACAGGAUUAGAUACCCUUGUAGUC
rnacentral:rRNA from 1 species